rnacentral:rRNA from 1 species
ACGCUCGACACCUACGGGAGGCAGCAGUCGGGAAUAUUGCGCAAUGGAGGAAACUCUGACGCAGUGACGCCGCGUGCAGGAAGAAGGUUUUCGGAUUGUAAACUACUUUAGACAGGGAAGAAAGAAAUGACAGUACCUGUAGAAUAAGCUCCGGCUAACUACGUGUCAGCAGCCGCGGUAAUCUGAGCGGGCUGGCAAGGC